UACGGAGGGUGCGAGCGUUGUCCGGAAUCACUGGGCGUAAAGGGCGCGUAGGCGGCCACGCAAGUCCUGGGUGAAAUCCCUCGGCUCAACCGAGGAACUGCCUCGGAAACUGCAUGGCUCGAGGCCGGGAGAGGGUAGCGGAAUUCCCAGUGUAGCGGUGAAAUGCGUAGAUAUUGGGAGGAACACCGGUGGCGAAGGCGGCUACCUGGACCGGUUCUGACGCUGAUGCGCGAAAGCGUGGGGAGCAAACAGG
rnacentral:rRNA from 1 species